rnacentral:tRNA from 2 species
GGAGAGAUGGCCGAGCGGACGAAGGCGCCGGUCUCGAAAACCGGUAUGGGCGCAAGUUCAUCGUGGGUUCGAAUCCCACUCUCUCCGCCA